rnacentral:rRNA from 1 species
GAUGAACGCUGGCAGCAUGCUUAACACAUGCAAGUCAACUUGACUUUGGGUUUUUAACUUCGUUUUGGGUGGCGGACGGGUGAGUAACGCGUAAAGACCUUGCCUCACAGCUAGGGACAACAUUUGUAAACGAAUGCUACUACCUAAUAUUAUAUUAAUAGGGCCUCCUAUUAUUAUGAAAGCUAUCAGCGCUGUGAGAGCGCUUUGCGUCCCAUUAGCUAGUUGGAGAGGUAACGACUCACCAAGGCGAUGAUGGGUAGCCGGCCUGAGAGGGUGAUCGGCCACAAGGGGACUGAGACACGGCCCGUACGCCUACGGGAGGCAGCAGUGGGGAACAGUGGACAAUGGACCGAGAGACUGAUCCAGCAAUUCUGUGUGCACGAUGAAGUUUUUCGGAAUGUAAAGUGCUUUCAGUUGGGAAGAAACAAAUGACGGUACCAACAGAAGAAGCGACGGCUAAAUACGUG